UACGUAGGUUGCGAGCGUUGUCCGGAUUUACUGGGCGUAAAGCGCGCGCAGGCGGUCCUGAAAGUCGAAUGUGAAAGCUCCUGGCUCAACUGGGAGAGGCCGUUCGAAACUUCGGGACUUGAAGGCGGGAGAGGCAGAUGGAAUUUCCGGUGUAGCGGUAAAAUGCGUAGAUACCGGAAGGAACACCAGUGGCGAAAGCGAUCUGCUGGCCCGCCCUUGACGCUCAGGCGCGAAAGCCAGGGGAGCGACCGGG
rnacentral:rRNA from 1 species